ensembl:lncRNA
AUAUAUAUAUAUAUAUAAAAUGGAAGGAAGUAGCUAUCUUGGGUAGCUUUUUUUUUCUAUUUUAAGUUGUUUAUUUAAUAAUUUUUUUCUUUCUCAGUGAUUAUUUAUACAUUUUUCAAGGACUAGUUACAGUUACAGAACUGAGGUAAAGACAAAAGGAGCCAUGAUGAUUUUUUUUUUAAUUUUUAAUUUUUAUUUUUUCCUCUCUCUCUCUCUUGAGGCCUGGCGAAGGGUUUCAUUUAUUUUUUAAAUUUUUAAUCUUUUCAUUUUUUCGACGCCGAUAUGCACAUUGGACCUUUGACCUCCGCGGUGUUGGUUGCAGGCCGCCGCUGCUUCUCCAAAAAAAAAAAAAAAACCCUCUACGCCUGCUGGCAACCCGGGAGCAAAGGCUGCAAAAAAAAAAAACAAACAUUAGUGGCCUCUUUUACAGUUUAUUAGUCAGCCUGCCGAUAUACAGUUACACCACAAGAAGAAGAAGAAAAACCACACGCACACACACAUACUCCAGCUUAUUAUUUAAAAUACAAAAAUGCAGUUUUUUAUUUCUCAGAAGAAGAAAAUUUAAUUAGUAACUACUCUUUUCUGGGUCAGAUCACAUUGGUCUUUGUUGCAAAAGGGAGAUUACAGCAUGUAGGACAUUUAAAAGAAAAAAACAACAUUCAGAAUUUGAUGAAGGCUAUAAUAAUUAUACUUAAUAAUAAAGAAAAAAGAGUUUAUGGGUUUUAAGGGGGUUAAACUGAAAAUACUUGAUGUUUGUUGAAAGAUUAAAAAAAAAAAGUACAGAAAGCCACAGGCCUGUAAAUUUUAUUUGUAAAAAAGCAGUUCUAUUUUUAUACAACAUUUUUACUGCCUCAGAUGAAAAAAAAAAGGAUUUUAUUUAUUGUUAUUAAGUUAUUGGACUCCUAUAAAGUAUUACAGCAUCAUUAAAAGUUUAGACCCUUGUGGAGAAGUGAAGAAUUGGGUUCUCCGGUGUUUUUUUUUUUGUUUUUUUUUUCCCCGGUGCAGAAAAACCACGAUCACGACAUUUUCGCCUCCAUUUUGAACCCCCUUUGUCCAUUUCUCUGUGCACUCCAUCCGUCUGUCCAUCUAUCAUCCGUCCGUCCAUCCAUCCAUCUGUCCGUCCAUCCAUCCAUCCAUCCAUCCAUCCAUCCAUCCAUCCAUCUCUCCCUCUUCUCCAUUCGUAGUGGGACUACUUCUUCACCUGUUUUUUCCUCGUGUUCAUUUUUUACUUUUAUUUUUUCAGAUUUUUUUCCGUGUUUUCCGUUUGUUCGUUGCCCCCCUUCCUCUCUACCUCCAAAAAAACAUUAUUUUCGAAUUGAUAAGACUCCCAUUCUCUCCUCUGAUAAAGAAAAAAGAUAUUUUCUCCCAAAUGACGACAUCCAUCCGGGAUCUGAUGGAUAAAGCUUUGGGUGCUCUGUGUGUGUUUUUAUUUUGUGUGUGUGAAUGAAUGUAUAACAUCGUUUAUAUUAUGGAAAGAAAAAAAAGGAAAAAAUCAGCGAGUGGUGUUUUUGCUGUUCUGCCGGGUUUGCACUGUCGUUUGUUUGUUGUUGUUGCUGUUUGUUGUUGUUGUUGUUUCUCCUGAUUUUUUUUACACAAAAAAAACAACAAAAUGCUGUAAGUGGUGUGGUGCUCUGGCUCUCUGUGUGUAACUCUCUCCUCUCCCCUGUUUUUUCUUUCCCCCUUUUAGAACAACCCAUCCUCCAUGCCUGUUAGCUCAUCGUUUGCCUAGCAUGUCUCCGUGGCGUCCAAAACAAACAAAAAAAAACAACUUUUACGAAAGCAAACACACACGAAAAAACAUUUAUCCCCACCCAAAAAAAAAAAAAAAAUCAAAGUGUCAUCGUCGUCCUCCUUCCCCGUCAUUGUUUUUCUGAUGUCUUUUCCGAGCUCACCUGAUCAUAACCUGGUUCUCCUCCUCCUCCUCCUCGCUGCCGCCUACUGAACUUUUGAAAACUUUUUAGCUUUUUUUGGACUUUGAUUUUUAUGAUUAUUAUUUUUGUUGUCUUUCUUGUUUUUUUUUUUUUUGUUCUUUUGCAUGUGACCUCAUUUGGAUCUGGGAGGGUUUCAGGGGAGAAGAAGAAGAUUUUAAAAAGGGGAGGUUCAGAAAAAAAAACAAAUCUGUGAAAAAGAUACAAAGCUGCAUUCAUUAUGAACACAAAAAAAGACUGAGAUUUUUAUGGAAUAACAAAAAUGUUCUGUUUUUUUCAGUUUUUGGAGAAAAAACAACAGCUUGUGGUAAAGUGAUUUCCAUUCAGUAUGUUUUCUUGCAUAUUUUUCUUUUUUUCUUUAUAUGUCAGUUGUUUGUUUUUUGUUUUUGUUUUUGUUCUUCUUCAUUUAAAGUAAACUUGAAAGUUCACUACAGGAAUUGGCGCGCCAUCUUGCUUCUGGUGCCGAAAACGACAACAACAUGGAGAAAGAAAAAAAGAAAAACCAACAAAAAAAGAACAAAAAAACAAAAAGCAGGGCCAGAAGCAGUCCGCGCCAGUUUCUCUGAGAAAUAAGACUACUUCCAAACAGUUUUGAAUAAAAACUGUCUGAUCAAUAUUAGACUCUCUCAGAGCUCUCUAAUGGUUUUUACAUUUUUCAGGCAGUGUAAAGUUUUUUGAUAAGGCCAUUUUAAGUGGCUCUGUUUCUCAUUCAAAGUCUAUAUAUAGAACCACUUUUUUCUAGAGUAGUUUAAAGGUAAAAAUAAAAAAAGACAUUUGCCCUGUUUGGGGGGGAGAAAUGCUACCUACUUGUGUCACCUUUUGCUGAACUGACUCACAGAUAGACAAUCCGUGGUUUAAAUGCACAUGAUGAAAUGACCUAUAUUUUCUACUGUUUAAAUGUAUAGAGGAAAAAAAAAACUAAGAUUACCUGUAACCCGCGUUAACGUCGGUGCUUCUCGUGAGUUUAGUUGUGGUUUCAUCACAAGUCUAACGGUCUUAAAUGUCUCAUGUUUUUCAAGAGAAGACUAAAAAAUCAGUUUACUUGAACAAUAGACAAAGCCUUUCAUAUUACUAUAAUAGUUUUUCUCUCUUUUUUUCAAAUUUUCCUUCUUUUUUUUAAGGAGUCCCUAUUUGCUAAAUUUCUUGUUGGUUAAUUAGCUAUAUAAAAUUCUUAAAAAUAUAUAUAAAUAUAAAUAUAUCUAUAUAUAUAUAAUGUCAGCUUGUGAAGCAUCAAUGUCAUUAUUAUUUUAUUUCUCUCGUGGGAAACAAUAUUUAGAUGUGUUUUGUUGUUCGGCAAAAAUGUCUUAUAAAGAAAAAAAGACAAAAUCAGUGGAGUUUAGUGCCAAAUUCUGAAGGUACUUGCUGCCUAGCGCGUCAGUGUAUUUCUUGUGAAAUUAUUUGAUAACAUGGGUAUUUUAUUAUAAGUGUUUUGUAUGGAUCCCUCAUAUUUAAAGUAUAGAUUUAAAAAAGAGUUUGUUAACUUGCUAUUCUGUGGUCUUGUUGCCUGAAAAUGUCAUGUUUGCUUUUUUUCUUUGUAAAGAUGUAAGGACAAAAAAAUCGACAAAAAAAGUGCCCAUGUGUCAUAUAUAUAUCUACACGAACACACACGCAAAACACACACAUAUAUGCAUCACGCCAACACACACUCUCGUGCAGACCUCACAGUUUACUUUGUUAUUGUGCAUGAGAGCCCCUGAGCGCGAACGCCUCUUCAGCGAACCGCUAGCGCCCGCCAGCGUGCACGCUAACACUUUAACAAAAAACACACAAAGAGUCGCGCACUGAUAUUUUUAGCCAUUGUACAGCCAUUUCUCUCAUCAAAGCCUUACCACAAAUCUUUGCACUCCUGUUCUCUCUCUAUUAGCAUCCGUCAGGCUUGUAUUGUUUUUAUUUCUCAUCCCGCCGAAGACGAAGAAGACGAGCCUUAUUUCUCUCCACAUUUCUGAGUCCGUUUUUUGUCUCAGAUGGCGAGGAUCGUUUUGUGUUAUUGCACCUCAAGACGAGUGCUUUCAUGAUGUAAGCACAGGGCAAGACUCGCUCGUUCACAAACCAGCCUAGAUCUUUUGAGGAAAAAGCACACCGCCGCCACCGCCGCCGUUAGAGAAGGGGAAAAAAAAAAGGCGGGAAAGUCAGACGCAAGUUCCCGCUGUUUUUUUUUUUUUUUUUUUACCUCCUUCCUCCAUGUGUAAGUCUCGUGGUGCGCAAUGGGCCAAAAUCAUGUUUUUUAGAUGCCAAAGUGUGUUCAAGACAUUCUCAUAGUCGAGCCGUUUACAUGGCACAGUUGUCGGUGUCGAGUCUAUUCAAACUGCCCCUGUUCCCUCUCCCUGAAGUUUACGGUCUGCAAAAAAUAGAAAAAAAAAUUAUAAAAAAAUAAAUAAAGGCAGCAUUAUUUUCUACAGAAGCUCACCAGUCGCCUUAACCAGGGAGCGUCGUAAACCAGUAUUAUACAAGAGUACAAGAUGUUGUCGAGUCCAAGUGAUGUGUGCCAAGUCUGUCGUCGAAGAAAAAAAAAGUCUGGCUCUUCCUUCUUCCCGCCAAACCAAGCCGAGAAAAGAGAAAUGUGUGGUUGUUGUCUUCCAGGCUAACGGGGGUUAUUAGAAACAGGGCCGUCUUAUUGGAAUAGCGACGGGGGAAAUAAAGCGGAGAGGAAAGGGUCACAUCGGCGGGAAGCAAAACAACAAGCUGGAGCCCGAGACCAAGGCGAUGCAGCUUUCAUUAUCCUCUCUCUCGGAAAAAAAAGACCAAACUUUAUCUGAUCUCAUGGAAGGGAGGCGAGCAGACUUUUUUUUUCUUUGUAUUUUUUAUUUUUUUCCCUCCUAAAUGCAGUACACACAUGCCACAAAAACAGCCAUAAACUACCUGUACGGAAGCUUUUUUUUUUCUGUAGGUUCAAAGAAACUGUUCGAUCGCACAUUUUCAUUUUUAAUUUCGCAAAAUGGCGACACCUUCUGCGCUUAACUGAGGGAAUUAGAAGCAGAGUGGUCUGACCCACAACUGAGUUUUAUGUCAUUUCUGUAAUGUUUUAUGAUCCAGAUUGUACUGGCAAAAUGGUCACAACCCAAAUACAGUGUUAUAGUGCUGCUUCAAAUGUUAGACCAUUCUUGAAAAACGCAAAAACUACAGAAAGUGAGUUAGACCACUCUGCUUCCGAACCCUUCAACUAUCCCGAAAAUUUUUUGUCAUGGUUGUGAAAAAUUGCCAAAACCUCCACCCCGACAGUUUGCACAGUUCGGUGUUGUUGUUUUUUUUUUUUUGUUUUGUUUAGUUUAAUUUUGUUUUUCUGCAGGUUCGAAGAAAGUAUUCGAUUGCACAUUUUAAUUUUUAAUUUCCCAAAAUGCCGACAUGUUCUGCGCUUAACUGAGGGGCUUAGAAGCAGAAUAGUCUAACCCACCACCAAAACAAAAUCCGAACUCGAGUUUUAUGUAAUUUCUGUUAUAUUUUAUGGUCUAGAUUUUCGUAGCAAAGUGGUCACAACCCAAAUACAGCAUUACGAUGGUGCUUCGAAUGUUAGACCAUUGUUGAAAAACACAAAAACUACAGAAAGAGGGUUAGACCACUCUGCUUCCAGACCCUUUGACUGUCCUGAAAACUUUUUGUGGUCAUGAAAAAUAGCCAAAAGCUCCAUCCCGACGUUUUGCACAGUCUGAUGUCAUUUUUUGUUUUUCUGCAGGUUCGAAGAAACUAUUCAAUUGCACAUUUUCAUGUUUAAUUUCACAAAAUGCCGACACGUUUCGCGCUUAACUAAGGGCUUAGAAGCAGAAUGGUCUAACCCACCACCAAAAACAAAAUUUGAACCCGAGUUUUGUACAAUUCCUGUAAUAGUUUAUGGUCUAGAUUUUUUUUUUUUUUUUAAUUUUUAUCGGCUUUAUUGGAUAGGUGCAGUGAGAGAGAGACAGGAAACGGGAGAAGAGUCAGGGGAAGACAUGCAGCAAAGGGCCACGAGCGGGAAUCGAACCCAGGCCGGCUGCGGCGGAGACCAGCCCCUGUACAUGGGUCACCUGCUCAACGCGUUGAGCUAUACGGGCGCCCCGAUGGUCUAGAUUUUAACGGCAAAGUGGUCACAACCCAAAUAUAGCCUUACGAUGGCGCUUCGAAUGUUUGACCGUUCCUGAAAAACGCAAAAACUACAGGAAGUGGGAUAGACCACUCUGUUUCCAGACCCUUUGACUGUCCUGGAAACUUUUCGUACUUGAGAAAAAUUGCCAAAAUCUCCACCUCAACAUUUUGCACAGUCCAGCGUCGCUUUAUUUUUGUUUUAUUUUCGAUGUUGAAGCACAAAUCGGGCCGGGUUUUUCCGUGGAAGCGGCUCGCCUCAGGGGCUGUCAUCGCCGAUGCUCGUUGUAAUCUUUCUAUCUACGUCACUGUUUCACUUCUCUGUUCUCCUUCUUUCUUAAUUAUCUUAAGUGCUAUUUAUCAAACAAAUGGAAUCUUGAAAGGAAAAAAAACAAAAAAAAACAAACUUGUUGUUUCUUUGCAUUAUGGCUUAUGUCAAAAGUUUUUUGAGGAAAAAUGUUUUGUGUGUUCUCUCUUUCCGUGGCGUAAAAAAGAAGCUUGUUGUCUGUAGAAAUUAUCCGAUUUCUAUGAUUUUUUUUUUUGCUGUUGUUUUUUUUCUUUGUUUCUUUUAAUUCUCAAAAAAAGGUUUUCAAAGUAGUUUCAAAGUUAUUGUCUUGAGAGAAGCCAAAGUCAAUGCAUUUCAGUGGAUCCUGUAAGCGUGAUGUAUGUUUGUUUGACAACACUUCGAAAAUCUGUCACUGGAUGGGAUUUAAAAAGUACAAAAAAUGCAGGCUUUCCUAUUUCUACAACUGAUUGUACUUAUGCAUUUUGUACCAGUGGAACUUUUUAUACUGGAGAUUAAAGGAUACAUCAAAAAAAAGAAAAAAAAAUCUUAGAAAAAAACGCUGUCUGGCCUGGUGGUGUGGCCUGACCCUGACUGGUCCCCGAGUAUGAUUUCUAGCUGGCAUCAAGGAAGUUGGCUUUUGAUAAUAAGAUUUUCUAGAAGAUCUUUGGCUUUAUUUCUUUCACUUCUUUUUCCUCACUUGAGUGUUGUUCUUUCUUUCUAUCUUCUUUUUUCGUUCUUUCUUUUUUAUUUUCCCAAAAAACAAGAGGUUUAGGUGAGUGUCAGAUCUUUUCUUUUUCAUUUUUUAAUUUUUGUUUUGCUUUAUAAAUAUAGUUCUAGCAAGUUUGUCUAUACAACAGCGGUAAGUUUCAUUUGACUUCUGUAUUGUGCCGUCUACACGAUAAGACAAUUAUAGAAAAAGAAGGAAUAGAAAUAUUUAGUCACCUUCAGUGGAUUAAUGUAUUAGUUUAAUAAAGAGAUCAACUAAUUAGAACUUUUUUGCUUUUAGCUGUUUAGAUUUUUCCGGUUUCUCUGUCCUUCUCUGUGAACUAACUGUGUAGCUGAAGCAGUCAGAAUUAUUUUUGUAAACGUAUGUUCUUGUGUGAUGCAGUUUUUUGCUUCUGUCUCCUAUAUUAAACCAUUUUUCCUAAUACUUGUCUCUCUCUGUGUGUUGUUAUGUUCCAGUGGCUGUCUGAUGUUGUACUGUUUCAUGACCUCUCCCUACCAUAUUCUCGCUAUUCUCUCCUAUUUGUAGUCUUAUAUCUCUCUAUCAUUCUCUACCUCAUGUUUGUGUUUUUUU